rnacentral:rRNA from 1 species
UGUAAGCGUAUACCAAAGUUGUUGCAGUUAAAACGCUCGUAGUCGGAAUUUGGCAGUUCCGGAUGUGUGCACGUCGUGUGCGCACUUCGCGGGGAUUGCUUUUGUGGUCUUGCGUAGGAUGAGGCACUUUUAUUAGUGAACGUCCUCACGCAACCACUUUUUACUGUGAGAAAAUCAGAGUGCUCAAAGCAGGCAUUUGCCGUGAAUGUAUUAGCAUGGAAUAAUAGAAUAGGACGUGGUUCUAUUUUGUUGGUUUGUUGGGACUGAGUAAUGAUUAAGAGGGACAGUUGGGGGCAUUUGUAUUUCGGUGCUAGAGGUGAAAUUCUUAGAUUACCGAAAGACAAACUGCUGCGAAAGCGUCUGCCAAGGAUGUUUUCAUUGA